rnacentral:tRNA from 1 species
GCGGGCGUCGCAUAGUGGCAAUGCCACAGCCUUCCAAGCUGUUGACACGGGUUCGAUUCCCGUCGCCCGCUCCA